AAAAGAAUGUUCCAGAAUUAUUUCAAAACAGGGAUGUUUCUUGUUCACAUCCUAAACAUUGGAUUCGGUUUUUCUUGUGAAAAUCCAAACGUAGAGGUUUGGACCUCGGAGAAAGAUUCGUAUGGUGCUCCAAUCCAGUCUUUCUGUAAAGGUUUUCUACUAUAUGGAAGAUACAUUCUACUUCCAGCACACUGUUUAAUAUCAGCUAAACACCUUACUGUUCUCAAG